GACGAACGCUGGCGGCGUGCCUAAUACAUGCAAGUCGAACGCUUCUUUCCUCCCGAGUGCUUGCACUCAAUUGGAAAGAGGAGUGGCGGACGGGUGAGUAACACGUGGGUAACCUACCCAUCAGAGGGGGAUAACACUUGGAAACAGGUGCUAAUACCGCAUAACAGUUUAUGCCGCAUGGCAUAAGAGUGAAAGGCGCUUUCGGGUGUCGCUGAUGGAUGGACCCGCGGUGCAUUAGCUAGUUGGUGAGGUAGCGGCUCACCAAGGCCACGAUGCAUAGCCGACCUGAGAGGGUGAUCGGCCUCACUGGGACUGAGACACGGCCCAGACUCCUACGGGAGGCAGCAGUAGGGAAUCUUCGGCAAUGGACGAAAGUCUGACCGAGCAACGCCGCGUGAGUGAAGAAGGUUUUCGGAUCGUAAAACUCUGUUGUUAGAGAAGAACAAGGACGUUAGUAACUGAACGUCCCCUGACGGUAUCUAACCAGAAAGCCACGGCUAACUACGUG
rnacentral:rRNA from 1 species